UACGGGGGGGGCAAGCGUUGUUCGGAAUUACUGGGCGUAAAGGGCUCGUAGGUGGCCAACUAAGUCAGACGUGAAAUCCCUCAGCUUAACUGGGGAACUGCGUCUGAUACUGGAUGGCUUGAGUUUGGGAGAGGGAUGCGGAAUUCCAGGUGUAGCGGUGAAAUGCGUAGAUAUCUGGAGGAACACCGGUGGCGAAGGCGGCAUCCUGGACCAACACUGACGCUGAGGCGCGAAAGCUAGGGGAGCAAACGGG
rnacentral:rRNA from 1 species